rnacentral:rRNA from 1 species
UGGAUCCAGACUUUGAUUCUGGCUCAGGACGAACGCUGGCGGCGUGCCUAACACAUGCAAGUCGAGCGGAGACAGUGAGUAGCUUGCUACGAGCUGUUUUAGCGGCGGACGGGUGAGUAACGCGUGAGCAACCUUUCCCAGACAGGGGAAUAACACACCGAAAGGUGUACUAAUACCGCAUAAGACCACGGGAUCACAUGGUUCUGAGGUAAAAGAUUUAUCGGUUUGGGGUGGGCUCGCGUCCGAUUAGGUAGUUGGUGAGGUAACGGCCCACCAAGCCGACGAUCGGUAGCCGACCUGAGAGGGUGAUCGGCCACAUUGGGACUGAGACACGGCCCAAACUCCUACGGGAGGCAGCAGUGGGGAAUAUUGGGCAAUGGGGGGAACCCUGACCCAGCAACGCCGCGUGGAGGAAGAAGGUUUUCGGAUCGUAAACUCCUGUCCUUGGAGACGAGUAGAAGACGGUAUCCAAGGAGGAAGCCCCGGCUAACUACGUGCCAGCAGCCGCGGUAAUACGUAGGGGGCAAGCGUUGUCCGGAAUAAUUGGGCGUAAAGGGCGCGUAGGCGGCUCGGUAAGUCUGGAGUGAAAGUCCUGCUUUUAAGGUGGGAAUUGCUUUGGAUACUGUCGGGCUUGAGUGCAGGAGAGGUUAGUGGAAUUCCCAGUGUAGCGGUGAAAUGCGUAGAGAUUGGGAGGAACACCAGUGGCGAAGGCGACUAACUGGACUGUAACUGACGCUGAGGCGCGAAAGUGUGGGGAGCAAACAGGAUUAGAUACCCUGGUAGUCCACACUGUAAACGAUGAAUGCUAGGUGUAGGGGGUAUCGACCCCUUCUGUGCCGCAGUUAACACAAUAAGCAUUCCGCCUGGGGAGUACGGCCGCAAGGUUGCAACUCAAAUGAAUUGACGGA